GGUAAGGUGGAAGGGUCCCUUUAACUGCAGUUUUGCUCAGUUGUGUGGCUGCUAGCUCAGCUGGAUGGAGCAGCUCUGUGGCGUAAAACAGCCAGAAUUAAGUGCUGCGUCACAAUCAGGAAGAGGGCCGGCUCGAUGGACGCUCUGCGGGUUCGGUUCUGCCGCUCCGUGAGCUGGAGUUGGAAGUCUAAACAGCAGCUGUAACGUGGUGCUGGUGCUGGGGGGGGGUGGAGAAAGAGUGUUUCUCUGGCAGGAGGGAGGGAGAGAAGUCAGAGACUGAGAGAUUUGGGAUUAGUUGCUACGUCACUUUUUCAUGUCGGAGGAAGCAGAAGCCGAGAUAACGGGAGAAUCGUCGUUCCCCACCUGAAGUGGACGCGGCGGCGGUUCUUUUUGGACUUCCUCCCGGGUAGUUCUGCUGCGGUUGGACUUGUGUUUGGAUGCUGAGGCUGUGACACACUUUCACCAGCUCUUGUUUGGAUGAUGCUGGGUCGGGCCGACGUGCCACAACAACAGAACCUUCUCGAAGAAUCUUAGCCUUUUCAGGAUUUUUUUUUGGCCGAGGAAUACAGCCGAUCACAUCGGCUCCAGCAGCGUCUGCAGGCCUGCGUCUGCUGGAGGAGGAGGAGAAGCAGGGAGGCAGACGGCUGCUCGGGAUCUGGAUCAGAACCGCCGUUUGUCGUCAUGUGAUUGCCUCUCCACUUUGGAGAAAGCCUCUCCCCGGACGCUUUUGUUUCUGCGUAGUCAGGAGAGACGGUGACGCAGCGGUUUCGUCCAGCCUGUUAGUCUGAAAGAAAAGGGGAGGCUAAAUGUCACGAGUCAGGGUGACAGAAGAAGGAGCCGGAGAGAAUGUUUACUUUCCCUGCCGCUGAAAAGGCCCCGACUUCCUAAAGCUGCCGCAUGGCAGGCCUCGCAGCCGGAGCUGGAUGCUCAUUGGACGGGAGGGUGCACAUUCUGCACUUCACUGGAGCCAGCCAGAACUUUAAAAAUAAGGAAGUUUUCUGCAUGUGAACCAUGAGGCAGUUCAGUUUCCACCCAUCAUUUACAUCCGCGUGUUUACAAAAUGGACUUCAUAUUUUGAAAAUCUUUACCUUCUUUUUAAACAAUUAGCAUGAUCAACGCAAUUCCAGUGAAUUUUGAAAUUUUCAAAAUUUACAGGAAUUAUGUUGAUCGUGUAACUUUUUAAUUCUUUAGAAAAAAACUUAAGCUCAAAAUAUUAUCAGCACACUUUGUUGUUUUAUCAUUUUUAACAUUUAAGCUACAAACAUCAUAUAAUCAAAAAAAAUAAUAUAAAACUUUACUAAAUUGAUCCAGUUAGCUUUUUUCUUUGACUUAUCUCUCUUGACAAAAAAGCAACUGAUUGUUUAUUGUUAUUUUUUCUUUUCCGUGACCAAAUUGCUCAAUAGUCUUUAAUAUUCCAAACACUUGGAGGGAGUUCAUGGGAGUGCACAAACCCUGUGGGUGCCAACCACUGACUGUAUAUAAAAACUGGACUGAGUGACUCCUCCCCCUCGUGUUCCAAACAGGAAGUGGCUCCAAGAAGCAUAAAUCCCGUAGACUUCUAUUAAUAAAUACUCAGAUUAUUUGUCCGAAUAACUUUCCUAUUUUAAACAUCUUGCUAAUUGUUUUAAUAUUUUUUUUUAAUUGCAAGCUAUUUAAGUUAUAAACUGACCAAUCAGAUGCCUCAGUAAAAUUAUGUGGUGCCCGCUGGCCCCGCCUUAAACGUUUGAUUGACAGAUUCAAUUGAGCUGCUUUCAGAGAAAGGGGUGUGGAUUUAGAACAUGAUUGACAACAGUAGUUUUGAUUGAUUGAUCUCGUUUAUUUCAAGCAUAGAUUGUGGAAAAUACAGAACAAAAAAACAGAUUUUUCAAACUCAUUACAGAAAAAGCGAAAUGUUUUGAUUAGAAAAUAAGAAAAAUUUGGAUUCAUUAAAUAUAGUAACUACUAACUAAAGUCUAGUAGAGUUUCAUUGACUGCUUGAAAAGGAGUAGGAAGAAGCAAACUUAUAUAAUCCCACCCCGACUUUGUUCCUUCGUUUUACAGUUUUGCGAAGUUAGUUGCCAUAGAAACGUCGACGCAGACCGACUCGGACCAAUCACUGUCGUCUGACUCCAAAUGGCGACGGCUGUAUCACGCAUAAAUGGCGACUGAAACAGAAAACAAGCCAUUUUCAAUGGGAGGUGUCACACUCACUCAGUCCAGUUUUCUAUAUAUAGUUAAGGUUGCUAAGUAGACUCAAAUCAUUACCCUUCCACCACCAUGCCUAACUGUUGAUAAGAACCGUUUGAGGAUUUUUCAAGUUAUAUUAUGGAUGUCAGUCUUGUAAUUGCCAUUCUUUUGUGAUUGUAUUUAAAAAUACUACAUUUUUGAAUGUAUUUAACAUUUAUUCAUGUGUUUAGAAACUAGUUGUUACUUUGAAUAGUUUGGAUUUGAGGUGAACCAAAGUUUUUCAGAGUGAGAUGUUUUUAAGUUCUAAAUAAUAAUAUGUUUUUUUAAUUGUAGGAUGAUCUCCAGAUCUUGGUGCGUGGAGCGUCCACACAGCUGACCUCUGUGUUUGAAGCGUCGCUCAGACCGGCAGAUGUUAGCUUGAUUAAGUGCGUUUUAUUAGGAGCACAUGACUGCUACUCGCCGUCAGAUUCCUCCUUGUUUAGUUUGUUUUCUCUUCGCUUUUUUCAUCACUGAUCAGGCAGUUUGAUCGCUCUCUCUCUCUCCGGAGGCCCUCCUGUCUCUUUAAAUCUUUUAUAAGCAUUACACAACAGGUCCAGUGGCACACAAUCAACAAAAACAACACAAAAAAGAAAAAGCGGACGGGGUUGGGUUGAGCCAGCCAGGGAAAGGAACCAGACACCUACGGACAGACGGGUCCUCUGGUCGGAGCGUCACUGCGGCUCGAUCGCUCGGUGCCGCGCUCCGCAGGCCUGAUAAGGACUCAUAAAUGAGUCACAGCAGUUCGUUGUUGCAUCUGCCGUCUGAGGCCGACGUAGCUUUGUCUCUAAAAGGUUUCAGGAAAUCACAGUGUAGAGGAGGAGGCAGACUGUGUGUGGGAGUGAGUCCAAAACUCUUAUACAAACGUUGAUCCAGCGUUUCGCUUUUUCUGGAGCAUGUCGGCGAGCUGGCUUCUACCUGUGGUCGCCACACCCUUUCAGCUCACUGUGGCGCUUUCACCUGCGUCACGGCUCUGGCUGCAGACUCACUGCCUCUUCCGUUCUCUGCCUCUGCAGUCACAGGAGGCCGAUAACCUGCCGCCUUCUCUCCUCACAGCAGCAGAGAGACCAGGACUCGUCUGGGAGGUAUGUCAGUGCAGACACACAACUGAGCCUUCCUAUUGUGUGUGUGUACCUCUGCUCUCAGUGGGGCCUUCACACUUCCACCAAGCUUGGAUCGAGUGUCAGCCCGGUCAUGUGGGUGAGCUGGAAACAAAAAGCAGUGAGACUGAGAGGCGCUCCGGUGCUUUCCAGUGUUUUUUUUUUUUUUUCUCAUCUUAUUUUUCGCUCCCGCUGGUUUUCUGAAUCCGUUAAGCGCAUCAUAUUUUUAUAGUAAAAAGUUUCUCAUAAUGACAAUCCGAGUAGAUUGUUUUGGACCCUGUCUGUGGUUCAUUUUGGGACAAAAGUCCUAAAAUUUCACCUAGCAAAAGGUAAUCUAAGUAAGUGUACUACAAGAAUACUUCUUGAAGUACACUUAUUAUAUACCAUCUAUAAAUUGUAAAUUUAAAAUGUUCCAAAUUAGUCUGAGGAAGUAUUCAGUUAUACUUCCUAUACUACACGUAUAUAUAUGGUCUAUACUUGCUAUAUUCAAGUAUACUUAAUUAAAUAAACUUCCAGUGUACUAAUUUUUGCUAAGAGUUUCCAAACCUUUUCUUCAGUCAUGUGCAACAUUUUUGAAACCCCCCUGAUCCUAUCAAACUGUAAUAUUUAACCAGGUUUGUUAAAAAUCUGCAAACUUUAAUACUUUUUUUUUUUACAAAAGUGAUGUAUUCCUGUCUUUUUAUCGCUGAGAAACAAGUAGAUAACACCUUGUAAGUCUCUUUAAAGAUUCACUCAGAUGAAAAUUGUGUUAUUGGUGACAUUUUUCUGAACUAAUCUAAAGAAAAUUUUGAUUAAAAUUUAAUUUCUCGCUCAAAUCGUUGCAAUUUAGACGUGGAAAAUACAUUGUGUGAAUUUCUAAUGAACUCCUACAGAAACUACAUCCUAGAAAACACACAGGUUUUUAAGAUUUUGGCUAAAAAUAGCAUAAUUAAAAGACCAUGGAGAACAUUUUAAAAUAGAUCAAAGAUGAUGGGAGUGGGUCUUUAAAUGAGCAUAAGCCCACAACAUCCCCGAAGAGAGCAGUACAUUUAGAUUAGCCUUAAACCUUUCAGAUUUAUAUCCCAGCUGCCUUGAAACUCCAACAGUGACUGUAUGGGAGGCGUUUCCUUGGUUACGACUGAUUAUCUCAGCGCUGCCUUCUUUCAGGAUGUUUGAAAUGUCUCUGUAAAAGGUUUUCUUGUCAUGUUGCAGAGAAAAAAGAAAAAAAAAAAACAUGUUUUCUGAACCUCAGGUUUGCAUGUCAUCUUUUAGCAGACGUGCCCUCCUUGGAAGCUGGUUUCAGAUGGUGGCUUAGAGUGCUGUCAUCUAUCUAGCACCAUUUGAAAUCAGUGUUCUUGGGGUGGGAAGUGUGGACCUGCACUGGGACGCCGCCACAACAAGACGUGACAGAAGAAAGCCGGGUCAGCUUUUAAACCCUUUGGAUAUAAAAAAGAAAAAGAAAAAAAGCCUCUCCACCGAAGAAGUGGGACGGCAGCUUCCUGACUCUUCAAACUCUUUGUCCUCUUUCCAAGGUUGACUGAUUUCUUUUGGUGUUCAGAGUCCGUUCUGUUUCUAGCACCAUUUGAAAUCGGUUACAGUGAAGGACAGAUCUCAUCUCACCUUGAAGAAGAUUUCACAUCUGAAUUGUGCUCCUUCUCUGGUUGCCAUGACAGCAAAAAAGGGAAAAAAGACUGCAAUAUCCCUUUAAGCAAAUAUUGAAAACUUUCAUCCUGAUACAUUCAGAAAAAAUGCUGUUAAGUGCAGGUCAGUCACAGUUCAUCCACAAGGUGGCACUAAAAUAUAAAAUACUACAUUUGUGCUGCAGUUGUGUGAGUGACCUCAUCUAAACUCCAGAAACUUUGUUCACACAUAAUGAGGCUCUACAUAGAGACAAAGUAAAAAAAAAAAGUUUUGAAUGUAUAUAUUUUUUACUUCUGUGUCCCUUUUGGGGUUCCAUAGGACUACAUAUUCAUGCAGUUUAAAUGUUACAAUUUUAUUUCCAUUAAAAUGUUCAUUAAACCUUCUUGUAGAAACUGAAUUCAGAGUGCAGGUUCCUCAGUCAACACACAGACUUCUUCUUUAACAAUUUUAUUUGGUCAAUUGAUUACAAAAAAAAAAAAUUAUUCCCAAACACACGAAGCCAACAUUUUGUGACAAUUUAUCUUCAAUAAAUAAAAAGCUAAGCAAGUGCAAAACAUUCAUCGAUCAGAGCGAACACACGGGUUUGUGAUUGCAGGACGAAGUGUUUGAAGACUUUUUGUCUCUUUAAUGUGGUGGAACAUAAAUGAUUAUAAAGAGAUAUAGCUGGAGUUUUGCUGAGUAAUGGGACAUUUAAGACAAUUUAGCACAAACUGUAUACAUGGUAAAUGAAACUUGAUGCUGACUUCCUUAAAAACAUGGCGGGCUGAUGGAAAACCAAAACAAAGCACUUUUUUUUUUCUUUUUUGCUUUUUUUUUUUUUUACAUUAAGGCGAGUUGCACUGUAACUUUAGGCACUAUGCUGUAGACCGUCGGACAGAUCUUAUCAAUUCUUUCGUUAAGGUGCAAAUUAAAACUGUACUGACUAAUCUAUAGGACCCGCCCCUCCCACACACAAACACAAAAUGUCAUUUUAACAAAUCACAAUCUCUGUUAGAGCAGUAAGCAUUACAUUACAAUUGGGGCCAGAAUUCCUCCUCAGUCUCUAGACUCCACACCAACUUCAAACAUAAUGGAAACAGUCUGGGUUCUGGUUCUGUAGAAGCUAAGCUGCGCUCAAAUGGCUGAAAAAGUGAAGUUUAGUCAUUGAAAGAUAAAAAAAAAAAAA